rnacentral:rRNA from 1 species
UUAUUUUCUUUAAACCUAAAGAAUUUGGCGGUGUUUUAGUCUAUUCAGAGGAAUCUGUCCCAUUAUCGAUAGUCCACGUUUUAUCUUUCUUUAUCUUGUUUGUACAGUAUGUAUACCGCCGUUAUAAGUUUAUUUUAUUAGAAUAUUAAUUUACUUGUAAUAAUAUUUUAUUAUAUUUCAGGUCAAGGUGCAGCUUAUGAUAAAGUGGAGAUGGAUUACACUUUUAUUUGAAUAAAUGGAUAUGUUGAUUUAAAAUUUCAUUGAAGGUGGAUUUGAUAGUAAUAUUUUAAAUAUUGAUUGUUUGAUUAUAGCUCUAAAAUAAGCACACAUCGCCCGUCGCUCUA